UACAGAGGGGGCAAGCGUUGUUCGGAAUUACUGGGCGUAAAGGGCGCGUAGGCGGCCUUCUAAGUCAGACGUGAAAUCCCUCGGCUUAACCGGGGAACUGCGUCUGAUACUGGAUGGCUUGAGAUUGGGAGAGGGAUGCGGAAUUCCAGGUGUAGCGGUGAAAUGCGUAGAUAUCUGGAGGAACACCGGUGGCGAAGGCGGCAUCCUGGACCAACACUGACGCUGAGUGAGCGAAAGCCAGGGGAGCAAACAGG
rnacentral:rRNA from 1 species